AACGGCCGCCUGCGCAGCGCCGCGGGCGGUGAGGGAAACCAGCGGGUUGUAUCCGCUGACAACCACGGAAAUACAUGCAAAGGCGGGACUGAAAGUUGUUUGUCUGUUGCCAGUUAGCUGCUAAUCAAUACUGUUUUCCACAGUUGUGUCCCGACAAGAGGGCRUGAAGCCAGUGUUUGGAUCAGACCCAUUUCUGAUGGGGAAUUUAGGAUGGAAAACGUCGAAUAGUCCCCUUUCCCAUGUGUAUCUCAGGGGCUGAAAAAAUAAUGUCCCUAAGAGACAUGCGGAGGCUCUGCAACUUGUGAGCACAGUGACUAGUCCACCAGCACCCUUCAGACAACCUUGCCUUACGCUGAAUGGAAGCAGAAGCAUCCUUGGACCAUACUACUGCUACACUCAUCAUUGAGCCUCUUGAACAGCCCAG
rnacentral:lncRNA from 1 species